rnacentral:rRNA from 1 species
GAGUUUGAUCGUGGCUCAGAGCGAACGCUGGCGGCAGGCCUAACACAUGCAAGUCGAACGAACUCUUCGGAGUUAGUGGCGGACGGGUGAGUAACACGUGGGAACGUGCCUUUUGGUUCGGAAUAACUCAGGGAAGCUUGUGCUAAUACCGAAUGUGCCCUUGGGGAAAGAUUAUCGCCAUUAGAGCGGCCCGCGUCUGAUUAGCUAGUUGGUGAGGUAAAGGCUCACCAAGGCGACGAUCAGUAGCUGGUCUGAGAGGAUGAUCAGCCACAUUGGGACUGAGACACGGCCCAAACUCCUACGGGAGGCAGCAGUGGGGAAUCUUGCGCAAUGGGCGAAAGCCUGACGCAGCCAUGCCGCGUGAAUGAUGAAGGUCUUAGGAUUGUAAAAUUCUUUCACCGGGGACGAUAAUGACGGUACCCGGAGAAGAAGCCCCGGCUAACUUCGUGCCAGCCGCCG